CUCUGCUUGAAGAUUUUUUCCCUCUCUAAGGCCAACAUGUGAGCACAUAUACCUUCAGGUCACCAGCGUGUAUUUCUAGAAGCUCAGCCCCUGCUCAUGCCUCUGGCUUUACUCCAAGCCCGAGAAAAAUACAGGCCAUGAAACUAUUCCACAAGCCUCUAGCCAGAGUCUUCACUACCCUCCCUGGAGCUCAGCCCCCCCACCCCCCCGCGAAGGCUCCGGAAGGCUGGCGGGGAGGCUGCGGUACUGGGGAGCUCCAGGGAGGACCCAGCCCACGGCCUCCUGAGCCAGAAGCCCCCCACCGGAGAAGCAGUUUGCUUUUUAAGGCAUUUUCUCCUCCAAGUUAGGAUCAGAGGAGUGGUGCUGGCUGUGGUUGAAAGCUUUUUGGGUUAAACACAAACACUAAUGGAAUGACAGUUGGAAAAAGACAAAUAUAGCAUUACUGUGCCAGGCGUCUCUCGGAGGAGGUGGCGAGAUGGCCCCAGCAGAGCUGCCAGCAAACUGUGGGCUGGUAUCCAUCCUGACCUCCCAGGCCAGGCACAUCCAGACUGGAAGGGGGACUCCUCCCAACACACCCCGAGCACAUCCCAAGAAGCAGGUUCUGCUGAAGCUCCAAAUUGGAUGGAGAAAGAAAAGACUGAAGAUCAUGUUUGUAGGGAGGUGCUCCAACCUCUCUAGGGGGUGACCAGAAGAAAGUUGUCCCUUCUGGAACCAACCAGGGCUCCUUCCUUCCCUGCCAGAAAACAGCUAGUUCUCUGGUGACUGAGAAAACAGGAUGCUCCUCCCCAAGGACCUGAGGGCUAGGCACCUCGGGGACUGCAGUUUCAGCUUGGGGCACAGAUUCCUCCAGAAAGAAGAGUUCUUUGAGGCCAAAGUCUACACACCACUUAUCUUUGAAUCCCCUGUGUCCAGUGCUAUGCCUUAGAGGAGCCCAAUAAAUUCUCGUCGAAUGGUUCAUCUAUCAACUGAGAGACUGUAAAUUGUGGCCACCAAGAAAUGAAUGCUCUGUAAACUUAA